rnacentral:miRNA from 1 species
UCUGAAAGAAUUGAUGCUCUUC